rnacentral:rRNA from 1 species
AUUGAACGCUGGCGGCAGGCCUAACACAUGCAAGUCGAACGGUAACAGGAAACAGCUUGCUGUUUCGCUGACGAGUGGCGGACGGGUGAGUAAUGUCUGGGAAACUGCCUGAUGGAGGGGGAUAACUACUGGAAACGGUAGCUAAUACCGCAUAACGUCGCAAGACCAAAGAGGGGGACCUUCGGGCCUCUUGCCAUCGGAUGUGCCCAGCUGGGAUUAGCUAGUAGGUGGGUUAACGGCUCUCCUAGGCGACGAUCCAUAGCUGGUCUGAGAGGAUGACCAGCCACACUGGAACUGAGACACGGUCCAGACUCCUACGGGAGGCAGCAGUGGGGAAUAUUGCACAAUGGGCGCAAGCCUGAUGCAGCCAUGCCGCGUGUAUGAAGAAGGCCUUCGGGUCGUAAAGUACUUUCAGCGGGGAGGAAGGGAGUAAAGUUAAUACCUUUGCUCAUUGACGUUACCCGCAGAAGAAGCACCGGCUAACUCCG